UACGAAGGGGGCUAGCGUUGCUCGGAAUCACUGGGCGUAAAGCGCACGUAGGCGGACUCUUAAGUCGGUGGUGAAAUCCUGGAGCUCAACUCCAGAACUGCCUUCGAUACUGGGAGUCUCGAGUUCGGGAGAGGUGAGCGGAACUGCGAGUGUAGAGGUGAAAUUCGUAGAUAUUCGCAAGAACACCAGUGGCGAAGGCGGCUCACUGGCCCGAUACUGACGCUGAGGUGCGAAAGCGUGGGGAGCAAACAGG
rnacentral:rRNA from 1 species